AUCUUCCACCGUUGGGGUAAGGGGAAGACUUGGAAGAACUACAUCAGGAAGAAGAAAAAGGACUCCUGAUUUAGUGCUGGAAAAUGAAAACUAAGAAGAUCGGGAUCUAUGGGAGUUAGAACUGGAAGAGACUUUGGAGAUCAUCUAGAACUCCCUCUCCCUCCUUUUACAGAGGAUAGUGAAGGCACAUGAUAGGAAGUGGCUGUGAAGUAUCAUCAUUAGUCCAAGGAGCAAAGCUAGGAUUCAAAUCCAAUUCUUCUGACUUUUAAGUCCAGUGCUAUAUUCCAGUGGACACUGAUGGAGCAGAGAGAACUGUUUCCUUCACUGUUAUUUAUAUCUAGCACCUAGCAAUUAAUAAUACUGGCUGAUUGAUGGGUGAACAUGGACUUGUUUAUCAAGUCCCACAAUACUAAUACAAGGCUCAAUAGUCCCUGAAUCCCUUUUGAAGCUUGAAUCACCAGGUAUUUUAGGGAGAAUGUAAAAUACAAACACAUAAGAUUCUAUGAUACCUGAAAAAACCUGUGAUUUCAUCAGCAGUCUCAAACUAUGACUUCACUUACUAGAUAAAAAUCCUAGGGAGUUUCUUGAAGCAGGGCAAGAUUUCUGCUCAACUUUUGCACAUGAAAAUUACUUUGGUAAGAGGAAUGCAUCCAUAAGGGGGUAUUUAGGAAUAUGUGGGACUAGGGAUACGUUUAUGACUUUGGGAACAGGAAAGCCAAAAGUUGCUCAUUGUCUGGCCCAGGCCACAACCUAGAGGCCUUCCUCCAGCUGCAUCUCAGUUCUCUCAUUCAAUUUAGUAAUUGUAGAAAGAGCCUUGGAUUUGAGAUUCAGAAAACCUUAAGUCACAUCCUCUGAACACCAGAGCUUCCUGAUUUGUAAUACAGGGAUAAUGAAGCAAAACCUAACAGGAUUCUUUAAAGCUUGUAUAACAUGUAAGUUAUUACUCGCAUUUGUCUGAUGUUUUUAACCCUUUUUCUAGACCAAGCUCAUACUUGGAAUUCUCAACUUUAACCUAGGAAAUGAGACGAUGUGACACUUCCCAGUUCAACCUUCUUUUUUAGUUAUAGUGAGGUUUUCCAACAGACAGCAGCAGGACCAAGCAUGGGGUUAACAGGAUCACAGAACUAAAGCUAGAAAGGGACCUCAGAGGCCAUCUGAUCUCUAUCUGUCCCUCCCCCAUUUUAGACAUGAAGAAAUGAAGCCUAGAGGUGUUAAAUGACUUACCCAAGGUGGUCAAAAAAGUAUGUAUCAUGGUAAAAUUUGAA